AAAGCAGGAUGGAUUGAAUAGCCGGAGAAUGAGCUGAGGGUACCAAAAUACUAGUGGAGAGAGUGCUCCCAGUUAAGCCCAGAAAAGCAAAACAUUGAAAAUGAUGAUAAUGCAGGACAUCCUUGUUUAGAGUUUGUUGCCUUCAUGCAUGGUUACAGUUGCUUACCACCGGGCUCCUAUCUUGUAGUAAAUUAAUGAUUUGCUGGGUAGUAUGUGAGUUUAGAUCUACCGGUAUUCCAGAGGAAAUGAUCAAUGUUACCAUUCGAAGAGGACAAGAUCCAGCACUUCUAGAACAUAUACAGUUAAUUUCUAAAAUAAUUCAGUUUAUGGACAUCACUGGAAAAAGGCAAAACUUUCUUAGUCACAACUCAGUAGAAAGCUGUUGCUGUUUUGUUUUUGUUUUAAAUGAAGAAAGUAAAAAGAAAGAAAGAAAGAAAGAAAGAAAGAAAGAAAGAAAGAAAGAAAGAAAGAAAGAAAGUCUUUCAUCAUUUACCCUCAUAUCUUUUUUAUUCUUUACUUUUUUGAAAGCUUAAUACUACUCAAAUUUGUAACUAUUGUUAAAAUGAUUACUGAAUACAAUCCCAGCCAUAUGUGCCAAUUUUUUUAAAUCAAGAAUUUCACCUGCAGAUUAUAUGUUUGCUUUUUUUUUUUUAAACAAAUUUGGGAUGCUGAAAGUAGAGCUGGAAUGGUUUUGAAAUCUGAAAUUGAUUUACCUUCAAACAAUUUUCAAUUUGUUUCUCAUGGGCAAUUCAGAACAUCUAUUUUGGGAUGUGGUUAGACCAACUAUUAUUGCAGAAACUAAGGGAAAUCCCAGAAAACAGCAGAAUCUCAUUUUGAGGAAAGGGGGAAUACUUUCUUUACUAAGAAAAAUAAAAUCGACUUAGGUAGGACA
rnacentral:lncRNA from 1 species